UACGUAGGGGCCAAGCGUUGUCCGGAUUUAUUGGGCGUAAAGAGCUCGUAGGUGGUUCGGCAAGUCAGUUGUGAAAUCUCCGCGCUCAACGCGGAGGGGUCAGCUGAAACUGCUGUGACUUGAGUCUGGUAGGGGAGUGUGGAAUUCCCGGUGUAGCGGUGAAAUGCGUAGAUAUCGUAAGGAACACCGGUGGCGAAGGCGGGUCUCUGGGCCGAUAUUGGACGCUGAGGAGCGAAAGCGUGGGGAGCGAACAGG
rnacentral:rRNA from 1 species